rnacentral:rRNA from 1 species
UGUAGCUGGCCUCUUGGGGUAUGUGCACACCUUGAUCACAUAUCCACCUAUCACACCUGUGCACUAUGUGUAGCUUGGGAUGAUUACAAUAUUGGAAACAAUGUUGGANAGCCCUAGCUAUGAAUUUUUAUACACCCACAUAUAAAGUUUAUAGAAUGGAUAAUAUUAUAGCGUAUAAUUACGCAAAUAUAUACAACUUUCAGCAACGGAUCUCUUGGCUCUCGCAUCGAUGAAGAACGCAGCGAAAUGCGAUAAGUAAUGUGAAUUGCAGAAUUCAGUGAAUCAUCGAAUCUUUGAACGCACCUUGCGCUCCUUGGUAUUCCGAGGAGCAUGCCUGUUUGAGUGUCAUGAAAUUCUCAACUACCUUUUUAGCAUUUAUGUUUCAAGGGUGAAGUUGGAGUUGGAGGAUAAUUGCUGGCGCAACUUAGGUUGCUUGUUGGCUCCUCUUGAAUGGAUGAGCUUUUCUAAUGGAUCAUAGCUCUCAGUAACACUAAUGUGAUAAUUAUCUACGUUAGAUGUGAAAGCUUUUAUGAGUAGAGUGACUUCAAUUAUGGAGAAGCUCCCUAUAGAAAAGGUGUUGUCUUGGGAAGACCCCUUGACUUAUUAACAUAUAAUGACAAAUCUGACCUCAAAUCAGGUAGGACUACCCGCUGAACUUAAGCAUAUCAAUAAGCGGAGGAAAAGAAACUAACAAGGAUUCCCCUAGUAACUGCGAGUGAAGCGGGAAAAGCUCAAAUUUAAAAUCUGACAUGCCUUUGGCUGUCCGAGUUGUAGUCUGGAGAAGUGUUUUCCGUGCUGGACCGUGUACAAGUCCCUUGGAAUANGG